CUCUAUGGGCGGCGCCGUGUGUGGGGGCUUUCGGGCCCACCGGUUCUCUGUCCGGCACGCCAACCCGCACGGCUCCGCCCACCUAU
rnacentral:antisense_RNA from 1 species